CCGGGCGUGACAGAAGCAGGUGUUCCCGCUGCAGCUCAGCCAGGGGAAGGGGCGGUGGUUCUUGCUAUGGCCUCGGGAUAAGUGCAGCUGGAUCAACUGAUGAAUACCCCAAGCUUUGAAGAUGGUCCUCAGCCCACUGUUCUUGAGGGAUCUUUUGUGAUGCCAGGAGAAUGUCCUGCUGAGAUGGUUGCCCAGUUGAUUCUGGGAGUCAGGUAAGUGAGCAGCAAUGGGACCAAUGUCUUCCCUGAUACAAAAGUGCCAGAAUUUCAUCGCUUCUUGACAAAGCUGUUCAGAUCAUGCCCCUCCCUGUCUGUGCAGACAGUACAUUGCAGUUGUAUUGUCGAUGAGUAUCUGUACUGGUGAGCCCUUGAUGUGAGGGAGAAAAGCACAGCAAGCACUAUGAAUGCUUGAAGCCCGAAGAUAUUGAAAUGAAGAGCUGCUACUUGCACUAUCCACAAAGCUUGGGUUCUACACCCACCUCUGAAAGCACCUCACCCUAUCAGAGAGGCAUUAAUAAUGAUUGUCUUGAUCAGGUGGCAGCAAGCAAAUACCACACCUCUGCAUAUGUUUUUCUUAUCCAUCCACCAUUAUUAGGAACCCAGGAGGAACCUGGAUCAACUUGUACAACCGGUGUCUGUUCAGUCAAUGGACUAACUUCGGCCACCCCUGAGGGAUGCACACGCAUAGCCUGGCAUGCAGGGUCACUUAAGUAUAUGAGGCCAUGUGGCCUAGUAACGCUAGACAUUCUUGGACUGUGGUGGUGGGGUAUAACUUGAGAGGGUAUAACUUGAGAGAAGCACAUAACUGGCAAAUAGUCUGAAAACUGUCCUGUGGGAGAAAAGCCAUCAAAUAUGUAGAAUAGAGUAGGGCCUAAAUAAUUUGAUUUUUUGUGUGGGAAUUACUGUGGACUCUCUCUUGUUCAGCAUGAGUCUUAGAUGACGGAAAAGACAGAUAAGCUGGACAUGGCAGAGAACCUGGGGCUUGAAUCUACCUUGCACUAACACAUCAUCUAGGUGAAAGAUCUUCUGCCAUGAGACUUUCUUCUUCCAAAACUGGAGACUUGCAGGGUUUUGCUUGAGCCACUGGAUGGAGCAAUAGAGCUAUUUCUGCACUUUCAAGAGUUCAUCUCUCUAGUACAUGAAUUUCAUAAGGCCUUUACAGCUUCAUGAUGCAGAGGGGAGAAGUCUGUAGCAUCUUACUACAAAAAAGGAAAAAUUCUCACUGUGCAUAACAAGACUGCUUAACCUGCACUCUCCCCUCAAGAGCCACAAUGCUAAAGGAUCACCACCAAACAGCUGCAGUUCUACAAAGAGCAGGAAAAAGGCAUGAUCAGACAUGUCAAGAAGACACUCUUAUAACAUGACACCCCUCAAAAAGCUGUAGAUCUCACAACUAAAAAACGAUGGCAAGUUACUACUGUUCUCUGCAUAUUAGAGGUACAAUUGCACAUAUAGAGAUCUGAACCGUAAGUAUGCGAUCCAGGCAUACUUUCCACUCUGGCAACAGGCCAUCCUGGCAUUGCUGAAUGAGACUUUUAGCCAAACCUACUGACUACUUUGCAUCAAGGGGCUAUGUCCAGAAGAGAUGGUGAUCUACUUACACCAUGUCCUCUGUUCUGCUCACACAUCUUUCCUUAGACCAUCAUAUUCUCCUUUUUUCGUUACUUGGCUAAUAAGUCUUUUCAUAGAUAAAGAGAAUGUAUUUUGCUUCAAAAAAUCCCCAAAUACUCCUUCCAUA